AAGUCCCGCAAGGGAUCAGUAGAGUGGCAAACGGGUGAGUAACACGUGGGUGACCUGCCUUCGAGUGGGGGAUAACGUCCCGAAAGGGACGCUAAUACCGCAUGACAUCCUGCCUUUGAAGAGGUGGAGCUUAAAGCUGGGGAUCGCAAGACCUAGCGCUUGAAGAGGGGCCCGCGUCUGAUUAGCUAGUUGGUGAGGUAACGGCUCACCAAGGCUUUGACGGGUAGCUGGUCUGAGAGGACGACCAGCCACACUGGGACUGAGACACGGCCCAGACACCUACGGGUGGCAGCAGUCGAGAAUUUUUGACAAUGGGGGAAACCCUGAUCGAGCGACGCCGCGUGGAGGAUGAAGGUCUUCGGA
rnacentral:rRNA from 1 species